rnacentral:rRNA from 1 species
UACGUAGGGUGCAAGCGUUGUCCGGAAUUAUUGGGCGUAAAGAGCUCGUAGGCGGUCUGUCACGUCGGCUGUGAAAACCCGAGGCUCAACCUCGGGCCUGCAGUCGAUACGGGCAGACUAGAGUGCUGUAGGGGAGACUGGAAUUCCUGGUGUAGCGGUGAAAUGACGCAGAUAUCAGGAGGAACACCGAUGGCGAAGGCGGGUCUCUGGGCCGAUACUGACGCUGAGGAGCGAAAGCGUGGGGAGCGAACAGG